UACGAAGGGGGCUAGCGUUGUUCGGAAUUACUGGGCGUAAAGCGCGCGCAGGCGGUCUUCCAAGUCAGUGGUGAAAGCCCGGAGCUCAACUCCGGAACUGCCAUUGAAACUGUAAGACUUGAGGACGAGAGAGGUGAGUGGAAUUCCCAGUGUAGAGGUGAAAUUCGUAGAUAUUGGGAAGAACACCAGUGGCGAAGGCGGCUCACUGGCUCGUAUCUGACGCUCAGGCGCGACAGCGUGGGGACUCAAACAGG
rnacentral:rRNA from 1 species